GGUUAUGUGAGGUGACAUGGUUUAGGUGAGGUUUAUCUACGUAUGUUACCUGUGUGUUUGUGAGUCUCUUUGUUCACUUGUUUGGGAAAGCGCACAAGCAGGAGUCACGAUGGAUUGCGGUUCAAAGAAGAAGGAUAAGGGAGAGUGCAAAGACAAGUCUGGAGGUAAGGACAAGUCAAAGGACAAAGGUGGCAAAGACCACAAGAUGAAGGACAAAAAGAAAAAGGAAAAGAAGGAGGGAAAAAAAUCAGGCGACUCAUCUUCAUCCAGCAGUGACGGGGAAUGAUGCUUCCUGGGAGACCGGACUGCUCUUAGUCUGUUGUCUAUUGACAAAAUGACUGCAGUAGUUCUUUUUCUUCCUGUCCUUUUAUUUGUGUCAUGAAAACAUGGUCUUGUGUAAACCAGUCUGCUGAUUUCUAAAAUAAAUGUUUUACCUCAA